rnacentral:rRNA from 1 species
CCUUGCGCUAAUAGAUGAGCCUAAGUCAGAUUAGCUAGUUGGUGGGGUAAAGGCCUACCAAGGCGACGAUCAGUAGCUGGUCUGAGAGGACGAUCAGCCACACUGGGACUGAGACACGGCCCAGACUCCUACGGGAGGCAGCAGUGGGGAAUUUUGGACAAUGGGGGAAACCCUGAUCCAGCAAUGCCGCGUGUGCGAAGAAGGCCUUCGGGUUGUAAAGCACUUUUGUCAGGGAAGAAAUCCUUUGGGCUAAUACCCUAGGGGGAUGACGGUACCUGAAGAAUAAGCACCGGCUAACUACGUGCCAGCAGCCGCGGUAAUACGUAGGUGGCAAGCGUUAUCCGGAAUUAUUGGGCGUAAAGCGCGCGUAGGCGGUUUUUUAAGUCUGAUGUGAAAGCCCACGGCUCAACCGUGGAGGGUCAUUGGAAACUGGAAAACUUGAGUGCAGAAGAGGAAAGUGGAAUUCCAUGUGUAGCGGUGAAAUGCGCAGAGAUAUGGAGGAACGCCAGUGGCGAAGGCG